GGUUGAAAUAUAUUUUCUUUUUUGUUGAAACUUCACCAAAUCCUGAUAAAUAUUGAAGAAUAUUUGUUUUAUUAAGUUCAUAACAAGUUUUGUACGGUUUAGAGUAUAUUCAAACUGAAGUGUUAAUACCUGUACUGUCACUUUAAGGGGUCUCAGUAUUACGACGUCAACUCGGCGCCUCUCUCAGUUCGCGCUUUGCUCACUGAGAGGAGGUAAGGAUUUUUCUGCUGGUUAUCGUUAGGAGUUUAUUUCGUUUUGUAGAUAAUAUAAUAUAACAAUAUGCAGUUAUAAAGUGAAUGCUAGUCUUAAAGGUGUAAACAUGCAGCCAUGUCGUUAAAAAGUAAACCUUGUAAAUACACUUUUGCAAGUUAUACGGGAGACAUGUUUUUCAGUGCUACGGGGUUUCCUGUGUGUUUAUUUGCUUAUAGGAGACUGAUGAACAACGUGUGUGGAAGAGACUGCAUGUUGCAGAGCAUUUUUUUGUUUUCUACUAAUUUGUACAGAUACCACUGCUAUACAGCUUGCUUUAAAGGAGCAACCAGUA